UACGAAGGGGGCUAGCGUUGUUCGGAAUUACUGGGCGUAAAGCGCACGUAGGCGGACUACUAAGUCAGGGGUGAAAUCCCGGGGCUCAACUCCAGAACUGCCUUCGAUACUGAGAGUCUCGAGUCCGAGAGAGGUGAGUGGAACUGCGAGUGUAGAGGUGAAAUUCGUAGAUAUUCGCAAGAACACCAGUGGCGAAGGCGGCUCACUGGCUCGGUACUGACGCUGAGGUGCGAAAGCGUGGGGAGCAAACAGG
rnacentral:rRNA from 1 species